CAUGCAAGUCGAGCGGACAGAUGGGAGCUUGCUCCCUGAUGUUAGCGGCGGACGGGUGAGUAACACGUGGGUAACCUGCCUGUAAGACUGGGAUAACUCCGGGAAACCGGGGCUAAUACCGGAUGCUUGUUUGAACCGCAUGGUUCAGACAUAAAAGGUGGCUUCGGCUACCACUUACAGAUGGACCCGCGGCGCAUUAGCUAGUUGGUGAGGUAACGGCUCACCAAGGCGACGAUGCGUAGCCGACCUGAGAGGGUGAUCGGCCACACUGGGACUGAGACACGGCCCAGACUCCUACGG
rnacentral:rRNA from 1 species